rnacentral:rRNA from 1 species
UACGGGGGGGGUAAGCGUUGUUCGGAAUUACUGGGCGUAAAGGGCUCGUAGGCGGCCAACUAAGUCGGACGUGAAAUCCCUCAGCUUAACUGGGGAACUGCGUCCGAUACUGAAUGGCUUGGAUUUGGGAGAGGGAUGCGGAAUUCCAGGUGUAGCGGUGAAAUGCGUAGAUAUCUGGAGGAACACCGAUGGCGAAGGCGGCAUCCUGGACCGGCAUUGACGCUGAGGCGCGAAAGCCAGGGGAGCAAACGGGG